ACUGUAGAUAAUGGAGCCGCGCUUG
rnacentral:sRNA from 1 species